GUGGGGGAUAUUGCACAAUGGGGGAAACCCUGAUGCAGCGACGCCGCGUGAGUGAAGAAGUAUUUCGGUAUGUAAAGCUCUAUCAGCAGGGAAGAAAGACCCGCAAGGGGGAUGACGGUACCUGAGUAAGAAGCCCCGGCUAACUACGUGCCAGCAGCCGCGGUAAUACGUAGGGGGCAAGCGUUAUCCGGAUUUACUGGGUGUAAAGGGAGCGCAGACGGUUAUGCAAGUCUGGAGUGAAAACCCACAGCUCAACUGUGGGCUUGCUUUGGAAACUGUGUAACUGGAGUACUGGAGAGGUAAGCGGAAUUCCUAGUGUAGCGGUGAAAUGCGUAGAUAUUAGGAGGAACACCGGUGGCGAAGGCGGCUUACUGGACAGCAACUGACGUUGAGGCUCGAAGGCGUGGGGAGCAAACAGGAUUAGAAACCCCUGUAGUCC
rnacentral:rRNA from 1 species